AUUGAGCGCUGGCGGCAUGCUUUACACAUGCAAGUCGAACGGUAACAGGCCGCAAGGUGCUGACGAGUGGCGAACGGGUGAGUAAUGCAUCGGAACGUGCCCAGUCGUGGGGGAUAACUACUCGAAAGAGUAGCUAAUACCGCAUACGAUCUAUGGAUGAAAGCGGGGGACCGUAAGGCCUCGCGCGAUUGGAGCGGCCGAUGUCAGAUUAGGUAGUUGGUGGGGUAAAGGCUCACCAAGCCAACGAUCUGUAGCUGGUCUGAGAGGACGACCAGCCACACUGGGACUGAGACACGGCCCAGACUCCCACGGGAGGCAGCAGUGGGGAAUUUUGGACAAUGGGCGCAAGCCUGAUCCAGCAAUGCCGCGUGCAGGAAGAAGGCCUUCGGGUUGUAAACUGCUUUUGUACGGAACGAAACGGCUCUGGUUAAUACCCGGGGCUAAUGACGGUACCGUAAGAAUAAGCACCGGCUAACUACGUG
rnacentral:rRNA from 1 species